GCAGGUGGGUUAAAUGGGUGAUGUGGAUUAAGGACAGCACUUGUGAAGAGCACUGGGUGUUGUAUGAAGUGGUGAAUCACUAAAUUCUACUAUUGAAACUAAUAUUACACUGUAUGUUAACUGGAAUUUAAUUAAAAAUUUGCAUGA